UACGUAGGGGGCAAGCGUUGUCCGGAUUUAUUGGGCGUAAAGAGCGUGUAGGCGGCCUGGAAGGUCAGCUGUGAAAACUCGAGGCUCAACCUCGAGACGUCGGUUGAAACCACCUGGCUAGAGUCCGGAAGAGGAGAGUGGAAUUCCCGGUGUAGCGGUGAAAUGCGCAGAUAUCUGGAGGAACACCGGUGGCGAAGGCGGCAUCCUGGACCAACACUGACGCUGAUGAGCGAAAGCCAGGGGAGCAAACGGG
rnacentral:rRNA from 1 species